CGUUGAAACACCGGUUCCUGUACGAUCACCGAAGUUAAGCAACGUCAAUCCUGAUCAGUACCUAGAUGGGUGACCACAUGGCAGUACAAUGUGC